AUAAGAAAGAAGAUCUGCUUGUCUAGCUGAUUUUCACUGCCACACACCUAUAAAAAGCACAUACAAAGGUGACUCAUGUUAAGUACCUUAAGUAAUAGUUACAAGGUAUAUGAAACCCCAAAUAGCCUCUGGAAUUGCUUUGUCUUCAUCACAGCUAAAUAUCCCUCCACUGAACAUUGAGUAUCUUCAGCUCCAUGUAUUCCAAAAUGUCUACUUUAAAUUAAAUACUGACAAUAUUUAGUUAUAAGUACAACAGAAAGAAAUUUGAAUGAACCAAAAGAAAAGCUCAGAAUGUGUCUCCAUCCAUGUUCAAUCACCUAAGAUAUGUUAG